rnacentral:lncRNA from 1 species
GUUGUCACAAAUGUUCUCCUUGUCUCUUGUUGUUUAACUGUUUACGUUGUUUUGUUGAUUAAGAGUCCGGGCUCAUUCACGUGAUUCUGUUAUGUGGUCGAGUCAAAGUUUUAUAGAUUCGCACCUUGUAUCGGUAUUUCUCUGUUGCUCUAAUAUUGGUAUGAAAUCAUUAUUUGUGUAGACUUAAGUUCUCAAAACACUUUGGUCUAGCUAGUCACAUAUGGUGUAGUUGUGUUCUUAUCAUAAUGGCUUGUUGUUAUUUGUUAUUCUUUUGGUUGUCUCUGCAGCAGGUUAUUACCUAGCAUAUCCUGUUUUGC